rnacentral:rRNA from 1 species
ACAUGCCUACAACAUUGCGUUAAUACACCAGAUCCCACUAGAACUCCAUAGUUAAGCAUGCGUAGGCUAGAGUAGUACUGGGAUGGGUGACCGCCUGGAAGUCUUAGUGUUUUACAUGCC